rnacentral:rRNA from 1 species
CCCGCUGAACUUAAGCAUAUCAAUAAGCGGAGGAAAAGAAAGCAAAUGCGAUUCCCUUAGUAACGGCGAGUGAAAGGGGAGAAGCCCAUCGUGAAGGCCUGUUUCCGUGAGGAUUCGGGCGAUGCCACGAUAGUUAAGCGGGUAAGCGGUUGUUGGACUAGGGCUGUAAAUCUGCUUAAGUGCAGUGCCAUAGAAGGUCGAAGCCCUGUUUCGGCCCUGGUCCUUUUGCUGCGCUACCGUUUAAUAAGAGUCGGGUUACUUGAAAGUGUAACCUAAAGAUGCAGGUAGAUCCCUGCUAAGGCUAAAUACGUCCACCAGACCGAUAGCAAACAAGUACCGUGAGGGAAAGUUGCAAAGUACUUUGAAGAGAGAGUUAAAAGAACGUGAAACGGCUAACGGGUAAACGGUUGUAGUGGUCGGAAAAAUCGGCUGGCUUUCAUGAUUCCUGGGUUAAGGGUCUCUCUCUGAGAGAGCCUGUCCCGUGUAGGAGUCUGCAUUAGCCCGGUCGGUGCUGUCCUGCGGCGCUAGGAACGUGUGUGCUCGGCUUGUGAGGAGUUGUCGUGCGUUCAUUCCUUCGGGAGUGGAUAAUAAGCGCGGCUGCCUUGUCUUGCUAGUGCUACUGUUCUUAGUGCGGUAACCCUUUCUAGGGUACGUGAUGUUUGUCGAAGGGGCUGACCUGCGUUGGAGACGGGCUGUAGGUGAUAACACCGAAUGCUUGUGUUUAGCGCAAUAGGUUCUUGAGACAGGCGUUACCGCAGAUGAGACUAACUGUAACCGUCCCGUCUUGAAACACGG